CUAUUAUGUAUCAGAUGUAGCUUGUGUAUUUUAUGGUGAGUAGUCAAUAAGUGUCGGUGAGACUUAAGACAUAGAAAAUUAUAAAAUCAUUUUUAGUACCAAAAGCUGAAGUAAUUAAAAGUGUUAAAGCAUACCAAUAGUCAAGUGCCUGCCCUAUGCCAGACACUUCCACGUAUUUAUGUAUGUUCAUUUAGUUGUCACAUGGGCUCUGUGCGAUAAGAACUGUUACACCAGUGUUGCCCAAGGUAUUGCUAAACAAAUGGCAAAGCUAGGAAUUAACCUACAUAGGUUUGAUUCUAGAGUCUGGCUCCCAAGCAUAUCUAUGUUCUGUGCUGCAAAUAGACGUAAUUUUCCAUCCAUAAUUUUCAUUUUGUACCUCAUUCAUGUGAAUAAAAGAAUGUGGAUGCUAAAGUUAAUACAUGAGCACCUCAGUGUGCAGUUUUGCAUGAGUUUGUUGCCUUUAUAUUUGCAGAUAACUUGUCAGGAAGGGAAAGCAGGGACAGUGGUGGGUCUGCUGGAAUGUGUCUACUGAAACCCUUUAUAAUCUUAGUGAAUAUUUCUACAUACUAAGUGGGUUAUGUAGAUACUUGAUUUAAAUCUGAAAUUUUAAAAUCCAUUUACUGCAUGCUUUUCCUGUAGCCAUCAGUUCUUUAUCUAGAAUGCAUAAGGAAACCGAAGGAUGACAACAAGUAAUGAGUGAUUUGGAGGUUGAUCAUAAAGCUAGCUCUCAAGAGAAUAAGAACAAGUAGAACAUCUUGAAACCUUAUUUGAUCUAGAAAUGACAAAUUUGUAAAUGUGUCAUUUAAACAAUUUGAUCCUCAGUAUUAAGGUCUAAGUUGAUCUUAAGUGAGCCAGGCAAAAAUGGCUUUAGUUUAUAUAUAAGGAGCUUAAAAUAAAUGUGUUGUAGUAUAUUUUUUAGUGACUUAAUGGAGUUAUUUCAAUAUUCUGGUAGUUUAGUACACAUAAGAAUUCUUGAAGUAUGGGGAAAUUUAAAUCUUAGGUCUCCAGAUUUUUUCUGUGGUUAUGGUUCUUAAAUGUCUCAGCACAAUGUCUGGUAUGUGGUGGGUGUAGACACUCAGCAAAAUAUCAACCAAAUGUGCUAAAUAUCAGUAAGUGGCUUGAAAGAAAGAAAAGAAUUGAACAUAAAAUCUGUACCACAUUAUUGGAGGGGUGUAACAAUGUGGUCAUAAGGAUUGUAUUUUUUACUCAUAAUUGGAAUUUAUUUAAUCUUUGAUUUUUCAACUAGGCAAAAAGUAAAAAAUGCAGACCAGUUGAUGGUUUGUUCCAGAAGGCAUUAAAUGUCAAUUUUACAGCCCUCUUUAUAUGACAUCACUGUAACAGUACUUUGCCAAUACAGGUUCACUGGAUCCUUUCAGGAUCCUGUGAAAAAACUCAGGCUUAAUGAUCUAGCUCAUGCAAGUUCCCACCCACAGUUAAUGGAGUGCAGGAACUUGAACCCAAGUCUGUAAAACUUGGGCUUUUGAUGACUGUUGCUAUGUCCUCGGUAACUGGUUAUUUGGCAUUCUAGAUAGAACUUUAUAAAUUGAAUUUGGAUCUUAAGGUAGAUUUUCUUGGCAAAUGCUUUGUUGAAAAGUUUGUGUUGGUUUUUGAAUACGUGCUCUUGAUGUUGUGAAACUUCCGUAGAGCCUGCAGUAAAUUGGUGAUGUUAGCUACCUGUAUUGAUGCAGAUGGUAGUGUACUACUUACAGAUUUAUAGAGCUGAUGUCAGGUCAGUACCUAUAGAAUUGUGUUUAUUUUCUGUAUAACAGUAUCCUUUCUAUAUAAUGCCCUCCUGUCUAUUUAAAAAAUACCCACUAGACUGAUUUUUUAAUAUGGGAUUGGAGACUGAGAAACUUCAUGGUGGGAAAAUGGGCAAAAAUUUGUGAUUUUGUUUCAAUGCAGUUCCAGCAGUAGACAGCCAGUGUAUAUGUGUAACUGCAAAACAAGACUGUUAGAAACUAAAUAAAGGGCGAGAGGCUGUAGUAUUUCUCAAACAACAAACUGUACAUGCUAUGUCUAUUUGCAGGAGUACUGCAAAACCCUUUUCCGGUACUCCUAAGGAAAACUCUUGACCAAAAGUAAUACUAUACAAACGUGUAGUAGGGCACCAGAGUUCCUCAAACUUGCCUUGAGCUGGUUAAAAAACAAUGCAAUCCAUUCUCAAAGAAGUAUGGAUUUACUUUCAUUGAAGUUACUGAAGAGUGUGCUGCAAACUCUCAAGAAGUUUCAGAAGUUUGGGCAGCAAAUGCUCUUGUCCUCAGAAUUGCCUAGAGAAGUUUCAGGUACAAUAAUAGCUAUAAAAAUGCCCCUUGUGAAGAUUAUGAUUUAAUAGGUCUGAAAUGAUUCUUUAAAGCAUCUAAGUUUGGAAACCAUUGUUUUAAAUUAUACAAGAUACAAUAAACUUCCAAUUUCACUAAUUAGACGCCUUUCAUUUGGUAAGAGAUGCAAGUUGUGAGAUUAACACAUCUUAUGUGCAUUUAGCACACCUCAGCUGGUUAAAGCAACAUGUUCAAGUCUAGGGAUCAGAUUUCACCGUGGGCCGGUUAGUUUCAAGCUACUUGUGGUCACAGAUCACAAUAUUAAUCACAGCCAACCAAUUGUUAGUCUUAAUUGAGGGUAGGUAGGCAGGAUCACUAAAUAGUGUCAUUUUAAUUAGACAUCCCCACUAGGAGAAAUGAAAUGUAGAAAAGUGGUAAAAGCCUUGUGACUUCUGUCCCAUUAGUGUGGGUUUAGAUAGCAAUACUAAAAGUGACUAAUUAAAAAGCAAGUGCCUACUGAACAGGUUUGGAAUUUUUCCCCCCAUAAUUAUAAUUGUGAAGUAGUAUUUGUGACAAAAGUUGAGAUGUUUGUACUGCUAAUUUUGUGAUAUGAACCUAAGAGUAAACCAUGGUCUUGGCUGUUGUCUACAUAAUACAGAUAGCGUGAAGAGUUUCUGAUGAGAUUUAGUUUCUGGUUGAUCAUACAUGCAAUCUGACAUGAGGUGACUCUUUAAAGACUUUUGACUAAUACCUAGGUGUAACUUCUGGGUUCUCAGUAAUGAGCUUUCAUAGAAUGACCCAUAUUCCCUUUAAAGAGAAGUCAGGCAAAAUACUGUUUGGGGGUUUUGUUUUGGUUUGGUUUUUUGUGGCGCUGUGAAUCAAACCCAGGGCCUUGUGCGUGUUAGGCGAACACUGCCACUGACCUACAUCUCCAGCCCACAAAAUACAUGUUUUAAAAACUCUUCAUUCUUGAAAACAAAAGAUUUAAAACUAACUUCCUUAUCAGAUGGUUAUAUAUAUUAGGGUCCAGGGAUGUACAGAAUCCUACAUGCCCUUCAACAGCCAAAGGGGGACCCUCCUGGUCUGAACUGCAGCCCCUAAAAGUGCACUGUACCUUUUAGACAUUGCCCGCUAAUGAGGUCUGUUCUCAUGACGCUCGCCACAGUGACUACCACAUGAGCUUGCCUAAGGAUACGUGACCUAUCUCUGCCUAACUUUCCAUUCUCCAUAGGACUCAACUGUGAAUCCAGUGGCAGAUCAGGAUGACAGGUGGCAUUGCCACUCCCAUGGGAGAUUUUCCUCUCAUCUCCUAAAAGAUUGCAGCUUAAAUUUACUAAGGGAGCACCUGGUACCAUGCUUUUACUGUAACGUCUCUCAGCAUGAUACCUGUGAGUUUUGAAUAACUGCUAAUUUCAUGCUGACCCAUUAAUGAUAACAGCAUUGAUUUGUGAGGCAAUAAAUAGGUUGCGUGCCCCCACUAAAACCCUGCAAAUGAAUGAAGUUGCCCAUUAGCUUGGUUACUUCAUACUCUAAUCAACCGACCUUAAUGCCUAGAAACAAUUUAUAAACACCAGAUGGAAGCAUUCCUCCCUCCUUAGGCCACUGUAAUUUCCUGAAAUAUACGUAAUUACCAUGAACUUCCUGCAAUUCUUUAAAAUUUUCAUUUUCCCUAUUUAUUUUUACAAUCAGUAUGACCAAAAUAGGAGUUACUAUAACAGUUACAAAACACAUUGUUAAAAUCCAGUUUUGUGUAUAUUUUUGCACAUGUAUGUAUAUGUUUGUGUAUGUGCACAUGACAAUAGGUGUGCACAUUUGUGUAUGCAUUAUGAAUGACCUUAGAAAGUAGUUGAAGGGAAGAUUAUUUCUGUUAUAAAUUACUGCAUAUACAGUUCAACAUAUGUCAAACCAUGUAGUAAAGAGUUUACAUUCUAGUUUUAUUUCACUACCUUUGCUUUGUGUGGUUAAAUAUCAAUAAAUUUGUUAG
ensembl:lncRNA